GCAACCUAAAUUACUUUAUUCUCACUCGGGCCCCCCGCUGCGCCAGACUUGCAUGCAACAGCUGACUGGGGCUGUGGCCUUCCUGGGGCCUGAAGCUGGAGAAUGUGCUCGUGUCUCAGGGUCCCGCAGGACCAGAGCUCAAGACUGUAAGCAACUGUCCUCAUGAAUUGCACCUCCCACCCGUCUUCCAGUACGACUGCACAUGGUAUAUAGAUCUAAAAAUGGCGGCCACCUGUAACUCGCUCACAUACAGAGAAACACUGUCCCAGCCUCAACACACAAGGCACAAGCAAAGUCAAUGAAAGGAGUCCCAUCUGGCCUACUAAAGCCUCCCACUUGCCAAGUCACACUAAAAGAGCUUCAUUCUCCCACCCACAAGGCCACCAUCAAGGGGGCACUGGUGGACAAUUGUCCCCCGUCCCGACGGCUUUUAUAAAUUAAG